AUCUGGUUGGCUCAGUAGAGCAUGUGACUCUUGAUCUCAGGGUUGUGAGUUCAAGCCCCACACUGGGGA
rnacentral:tRNA from 1 species